GAUGAACGCUGGCGGCGUGCCUAAUACAUGCAAGUAGAACGCUGAAGCUUGGUGCUUGCACCGAGCGGAUGAGUUGCGAACGGGUGAGUAACGCGUAGGUAACCUGCCUCUUAGCGGGGGAUAACUAUUGGAAACGAUAGCUAAUACCGCAUAAAAGUCGAUAUCGCAUGAUAUUGAUUUGAAAGGUGCAAUUGCAUCACUAAGAGAUGGACCUGCGUUGUAUUAGCUAGUUGGUGAGGUAACGGCUCACCAAGGCGACGAUACAUAGCCGACCUGAGAGGGUGAUCGGCCACACUGGGACUGAGACACGGCCCAGACUCCUACGGGAGGCAGCAGUAGGGGAUCUUCGGCAAUGGGGGCAACCCUGACCGAGCAACGCCGCGUGAGUGAAGAAGGUUUUCGGAUCGUAAAGCUCUGUUGUAAGAGAAGAACGAGUGUGAGAGUGGAAAGUUCACACUGUGACGGUAACUUACCAGAAAGGGACGGCUAACUACGUGCCAGCAGCCGCGGUAAUACGUAGGUCCCGAGCGUUAUCCGGAUUUAUUGGGCGUAAAGCGAGCGCAGGCGGUUAGAUAAGUCUGAAGUUAAAGGCUGUGGCUUAACCAUAGUACGCUUUGGAAACUGUUUAACUUGAGUGCAGAAGGGGAGAGUGGAAUUCCAUGUGUAGCGGUGAAAUGCGUAGAUAUAUGGAGGAACACCGGUGGCGAAAGCGGCUCUCUGGCCUGUAACUGACGCUGAGGCUCGAAAGCGUGGGGAGCAAACAGG
rnacentral:rRNA from 1 species